rnacentral:rRNA from 1 species
AAUCCUUUAACGAGGAUCUAUUGGAGGGCAAGUCUGGUGCCAGCAGCCGCGGUAAUUCCAGCUCCAAUAGCGUAUAUUAAAGUUGUUGCGGUUAAAGAGCUCGUAGUUGGAUCUCGGUUUCACUCAGGUGGUACACCUUGCGGUGUUCACUAUCUGGGUGGACGUUUCUGUUGGUUCGCUCUUGGUGCUCUUCAUCGGGUGCCAUUUGGUGGCCAGCACGUUUACUUUGAAAAAAUUGGAGUGCUCAAAGCAGGCGUUACAGCCUGAACAUUAGUGCAUGGAAUAAUGGAAUAGGAUCUCGAUUCUAUUUCGUUGGCUUUCGGAGUCGAGGUAAUGAUUAAUAGGGACAGACGGGGGCAUUCGUACUGCGACGUUAGAGGUGAAAUUCUUGGAUCGUCGCAAGACGAACUACUGCGAAAGCAUUUGCCAAGAAUGUUUUCAUUAAUCAAGAACGAAAGUUAGAGGUUCGAAGGCGAUCAGAUACCGCCCUAGUUCUAACCAUAAACGAUGCCAACCGGCGAUCCGUCGUCGUUAAUUGAAUGACUCGACGGGCAGCCUCCGGGAAACCAGAGUGUUUGGGUUCCGGGGGAAGUAUGGUUGCAAAGCUGAAACUUAAAGGAAUUGACGGAAGGGCACCACCAGGAGUGGAGCCUGCGGCUUAAUUUGACCCAACACGGGAAAUCUCACCAGGCCCGGACACCGGAAGGAUUGACAGAUUGAGAGCUCUUUCUUGAUUCGGUGGGUGGUGGUGCAUGGCCGUUCUUAGUUGGUGGAGCGAUUUGUCUGGUUAAUUCCGAUAACGAACGAGACUCUGGCCUACUAACUAGAAGGUCUAUCCUUUAUGGGUAGGCCUCUGCUUCUUAGAGGGACGGGCGGCGUUUAGCCGCACGAGAAUGAGCAAUAACAGGUCUGUGAUGCCCUUAGAUGUUCUGGGCUGCACGCGCGCUACACUGAAGGAAUCAGCAUGUUCUCCCCUCCCUGAAAUGGGCGGGUAACCCGUUGAAACUCCUUCGUGAUGGGGAUUGGAGAUUGUAAUUAUUCUCCAUGAACGAGGAAUUCCCAGUAGGCGCGAGUCAUCAGCUUGCGUCGAUUACGUCCCUGCCCUUUGUACACACCGCCCGUCGCUACUACCGAUCGAGUGAUUUAGUGAGGACUUCGGACUGGUCUUCAAGUUGGCUUCGGUCGGCUCGAAGUUCCGGAAAGAUGCCCAAACUUGAUCACUUAGA